GCCCCGGUAGCUUAGCCCGGCAGAGCGAUUGACUUGUAAUCAAUAGGUCGAGGGUUCAAAUCCCUCCCGGGGCU
rnacentral:tRNA from 1 species